GAAAGACCACCCGGUUCCUGUACUGAGAUGCUUCAUCCAGUGUCUCUACGUCAAUUCUUUAGUUUACUAUAUUUGCCAUUCCUUUGCAGGUCGAUCCGUUUAAGCUCCAAUCCAUAACUUCCCUCCAGUUUGUAGGAAGUUCAAUUUGUGAUGAAUCAGAUGUUUGUCUUUCCUCAGAACAUAAAUUCAUUUAUAUAGUGUGUAUCCCUAGACAUGAAAAUCUCUUUUUGCUAUCAAGCAGAGGGACAGUGCCCAAAGCCUUGUUACAUAGCAACCGUAAACUACUGUGUAAGAAAGUAUAACACUCACUUUAACACUGUAAAGUACUACUACAUGCCAUGACCAAAUUUAACAACACUAGUGCAUUUGGAUGCCGGUUAGAACUGUCUGAAGGUCUGCCAUUUGCUCAGCUUAAGCUUCGCCGGCUUUUGCCCAGCAGAGCCAUCAGCAUUAGCUUCUAACUCAGCAGAUCCUCCACGGUCUUCAUUCUUUUUAUGGUCCCGCUCCGACACUGCCUCGACCUUCUGCCGAGGAAGAUCAUUCUGGUACUGGCCGAGCAGAGCCCCGUUUUGGACUUCGUUGGAGGCCGGUUCAUUCUUGAAGGCUCUGUACACGUUCGGGUAUUGAGGGAUAUCGGGAUUGACGCUAAGCGUCUUUGAAAUUCUCGAGAUGUGUUCGAGGUAAUCAUCGGACGUGGUGUUCCAGCCAGGGAUGGAACUGGGAGUAUUUCCUAAGCUUCGACGCAUGUUUUCGCCUUUGCAGUGGUAUAGCGAAGGAACUUCCAUUUAUACGUGAAGGCGUGAGAUGCUUGUGCUAUAUUCUUGAAGUGACAUUGACGGCAUCUGAUUCCCUUUUCUAUAUUUGAAACAAGGAACAAGAACAUGUGCGGAACGUACCCAGAUAUAGGGCGGCGUCCAAGGCUCCUUGGAGAUUUAUUCCUUGACCGAUACGUCAUAAACUUGACACUUAAUCGUGUCAUAAUGCCCAGAUAUUUUUUUUUCCCUUUUUUGUCUCUAGAAGAUGCAUCACUUGGUUUUAAUAUCCUUUUAAAAGUACCAGAAAUAUAUUUGAGAGAUGAUAGGCGAUUCUGCGUAUUUCCUUAUUAUCCUAUAAAGCUUAUAGAUAGACCCGUGUAUUUUCAUUUGAUAAUGAACAGAAUAUUAUAUUUUUCUAUCAUUACAAUCUUCAACUCCAAUGUCGUAUGCGAUAGAUUUUAUCUAUAGCAACAAAAAGUAAAGAUAAACAAUACGGAUAAUCGAAGACAAUUUUGACCAAUAGUAAAUAUUCCCCUUGCUCAAAACCCACAAGAGAUUCAAUCUAAUCCACUAGUCAAAAGUCGUAUAAAGCUUGACCACUUGAUAUGUAGGAGCUCUGAAAGAGUACGUGAUGGACCCUUCAGCACCGCUGUGCCCUUGCUCGACGAGGUGACCGAUCCCGCGGAAAGCCACGGUCUCCAAGUCCAAAGCGGGCGAACCGGAGGGUGGAUUCACCGCCCACCUCUCGUCCGCGUCGUAGCAGAAUGGCCUGCUAGUUGAUGGGAAAUCAUGGGCAAUAGUUCCUCCGGGCCCUUUGAAUCUGUUCUCCAUGCCACAGGUGAGAUGGUAAUUAGAAGCCGGCCACCUAGCGAUUCCCCACAAUUAUCAAUGAGGGCAUGAUUAGAAGAAAAAAAUAGAAUCAUUAAAUCCCACAAUAGCCUAUCGAAAAUGCUAGUGCUGGUAUUUCUCUAAACUUGUCCAUAAAAAAUUCAUGAAAUGAUUUAACUUUUUCUCUGGAAUCUCUCAAAAAAGUUGUUCCAAACGAAUUCUUAGUAACUUCGCGAAUGUGCUUUUUGCCUUAUUCAAGCAAGGGCAGGGAGGAUGUUAGGAGUUUUGCAUGUUGUCUUAGAAUGUUUCUCACCAUUGUAAAUCCGAUCAUUUAAAGGAUUAAUAAUGUCUUGAAAGACUAAUUACGAUCCCAUGCCAUCCAAAAAACAAGGGACUGAUUCCAGAGGCUGAAGCAACAUCAGCCCGAGCAUUUAGCUUCUCCUAAUGUUUUCAACUUACUAUGUUCUUGAUUUCUAAAUUAGAAAUAAUAAUUAUAAAUAAAAAAAAAGACAAUCCUUAUACAUGUACGCCACGUUUCUGAAAAUUGCAAAAUAAUUCCUAUUUGUAAGAAUAAUUAUGACGAGUUAAUGUUUCGGUGUCUUGACUACACUGACACUUUAGAUUUGGUACUAUGCGAUUGGCCAUUUGGGGUUUCCCUCAAAGAAUUUGUAGUGGGACACCGCAUGGAAGGAGCCGAGGCCAGGGAGGUUCUGGCCUUUCUUGUUGGGCUCCAUCCAAGUGGUCCCAUUGACGAUAUCCGACACGCCACACCGCAGCAUCAUCAUUUUCAAAACCGUCUCAGGAUCCAAGGUUCUAGUAGCAUUUAGAUGAUGAUUGAGCUGAUAUACCUUGAUGGCAUCCUCUAGCAAAUCGUUGAAGUCGUCAUCACCGGUGUGGACUGAAUGUUCAGAUUGGUUGUAGUUCAAGCAGUGUUUAGAUGAUGAUUGAGUUGAUACAUCUUGACUACAUGCUCUAGCAAAUCGUCAAAGCCGUCAUCGCCAGUGUGGAUCAAAUGGUCAGAUUGGUUGUUCAAGUAAUCGAAUUUCUCAAGUUAUUGCUUGAGCUCGCAAAUACCUAGGGCGUGGUCGCCCUCGUGACAUCCCUCGAUGUGCUUGAGGAAAUCAAAGGCUGAUUUGGUUUGGACAUGGGAAUGUGCUAAAACGACAUGGAUGGUGAGAAGGAGGAGGAGCAAGUGGGAGAAGGUGGAAUGGGGUUUGUUAGGUCAUGUUUAGUGACGUUUCCAUUCCCCUAUUUUUCUAUUUUUUGUUUUAUUUUUUGAAACAAUAAAAAAAUAGAAAUUCAUUUGGAAAAGUCGACUAAUUUUUCUAUUUCCUGAAAUAGAUUAGUGGUCAAUGAAUAGAUUUAGAACAUGGAACCCUCAAUUUUUAUAUUCUGUCCCCAUAAAAGCGACAUACCCACCACUUUCCCCACUACUUUCCCUCUGAGCCAAGCCCUCAAUUUGCCCUCCACACCCUAACUCAUUUUUUCUAUUCUAUUUAUAGGUUUUUUCCAGUUGUGGAAGCAUAAGAAAGUUCUUGGCAUCGUGUCGCUCGCGGCCAUAACAGGGUCGUGAGGAGAGAGAGAGAACGAGUCAACUUUGUGAAAUGUUCAAGGUUAUUCACCACUUUUCAGGUCUUCGCAAAAUGACAAUCUAGAAAACGUGGUUACCGAUCUUCUGGAUGGUCUGGAUGCUAAUGAGAAGCUUCUGAGGGGUCGAGCAGACCCCUGCCUAACAAAAGACCUUCACAGUCUUCUCCUCUAUAGCUAUUAUCUAUUUAAUGCUUUCAUUAUAUUCCUAGCAAUGUUUAUAGUAUUGUCAUAUUGUUAUUUAGAAAAAUGGGCACCAGCAGCAAAUUCCAUGAACCAACAUAAACGCGUCGUUUAGAUUAUACAUUCGCUGGCUUUGAUUAUUCUAUUCACAGUGGACAGAAUAGAAUUGCUUUUGUUUUUCACCCGUUUGCUUUUUGUAAAAUUGUGCUGAAAGAUAUACAGUCAAAGCAAGCCGGUCUUGGUGACUUUGACUUUGACUUUGCCUUUGCUUCUCGGAGAAGUUAAUGUUGGCUUACUGGAGAUUGAGCAUGCUAAGAAGCUUCUUAGGAGCCCGUGAACGUUCGAAGUGAUUCUUGGCUCGCAAUCUAGUUCCAUUUACUUAAUAAUUAACCUUGAUUUUAAGAAAAACAUUAGAAAAUGGGGAUGAUAAUCGUGAGAAUACUAAUUAACGAUCCUGUUCAAUUCCCCUUGUACAAUUCCUCCCUCGCAACUGCUAACGCAGAAAAAUUCGGCUCCUUUCAUGUAUGAACGUGUUAGAUGUUGGAAUUUUGUUUGUUAAAACAAAAUGAGUGUUUUUUACUUUGUCCCACAUAGAAAAGGUGGGAGCAUGAGGGCCAGUUUAAAAAUGUGGGAUUUCCCUUUUGUAAUUAAAGGAGUGAUUAGGUGGGGCUAGACCCCACCAUACCCGCUUGCGGGUGCGCGAUUAUUUGGCGCCCGCGGUUUAAUUAGCAUUAAUCCCUUGCUUUUUAUUUAUUUAUUUUUAUUUUAAUUUAUAUUUUUUGGUUCAAAGGUUGCCUUUUAAUUUGAGAAUUUCGAAAAUGAAAUAUAAAUGAAAAUUCGAAAUUCUAUUUAAAAAAAAAAUUAUUCCGAAUUUUAUUUGUGUCUUUUCAAGAUCACCUUUGGAAAAUUACUUAUUCGGUUUUAAUUUUUCCGAAGGAUUGUAAUUGUUCGUUUUUCGACUUCUUCCGAAGAGUCGCAUUUGUUUAUCCGAACAAUUUUCUAAAGACGUGUUUGUUCGCAAUUUUCACGAAGAGUUGCAAGACUGUUUCUUAUAUAUACUUGUCAUUUUUCGGAAAGAAAAUGGUGGUCAUUUUCGAGUCUUCUUUAUGAAAAACUGCAGCCAAUUUUUCGAUUGUUUUCCUAGAGAGACCCUGGAGAAAUACUAAAAUUGCUAUUUAGUAUUCUCAUCCGAGACUUUGUUGUAUCUUGGAAGAUUUUUGCCGGUGACCAUUAGCAACGUUGUGGGGCAAAUAAAUCCUUAAAGAAAGUGAUAUCACGCCUCAAAGUCCGAGUUGUUUUACUCGAUCCGAUUUCAUUGUACUACCCAAUUUCGAAGCAUAUUUUCCUAACAUUAGACACCAAAAAAUGCCGAGUCUUUGACCAUUGACUCGGACUAGAAGAGAAUGAACACAAUUCGACAGAAGAAAAAUUGCCUGAGUGUUGAAAGCUUUUAGUUGGCAAAUUUAGUUAAUCGACGAGAAAACUAGUUUUAACUGACAGAAAAUACGAUUUAAGAUAAUUAAGUUUAGGAGUAUACUGGCGACAAGUAAGGUUGACUCUAUGACAAAAGGCCACGAAUGAUGUAGCUGUUGACAGAGUGAUGAUGGAGUAACCAUUUAAGUGUUGGAGCCAACAAUUUUGGAUGUAACUUGUCAUGAAGAUAACCGCAAAAGGGGAAACUUAAUGCAACCAUCGAGUAGUGGAGUGAAGUAGCGGAGUCAAGAAGUUCGUGAGAAACUGAUUGUGACAAUUGUAGAGAAGUGGAGGAGACAUAACUAUCGAAGUAAUGGGGAUGACACAACCGUUGAUGUAGUGAAGACAUAGCCAUCAAAAUGAAGUGGAUUCCUUUUGUAAAUAGAGAUUGCUAAAUUGUAAGUCAUGUAGGGUGUGUUUUUUUUUUUUUUACACUGUUGUUAACUAUCAGUAGCAGACUAGUAGGUACAGACACUUGUACUGUAGGGGAGAAGAGAAUGUUGAUUAAUUUAAAAACACUAGCUGUUUAAUUUUAUCUUCCUGUUUAUAUUUGAAUUUCCAGCACCUUUACAUGAUUAGACAAGAUUGUCUUCAUUCUUAGUACUUUUAACUUUCACGUCGUUUGUGUUGCCUAUCCAAGAAUUAAGAAAGGACCUUUCAUGUGGCAUGGUUUAUAUCUUUUCGUCAUUCGGAAAGGAUGGACUCAUAAAAAUAUUUGUCCUUCUGCCAAUUGUAUCCUAUAAGUUACAGUUUGGUAAGAUCACUCGGUUCUUGUACUUAGUUGCCUCAUCCGGUGUCUCUACUUCAAUUCUUUUGUUUACUACAUUCGCCAUUCCGUUGUAGGUCGAUCCGCUUGAGCUCCAAUUCAUUACCUACCCCCCCCCCCCCCCCCAAAAGUUUGUAGGGAGUUUACUUGGUGAUGAAUAAGAUGUUCAUCUUUUCUCAUAAAUGUAAAAUCAUUUAUAAAGUCUUCCUAGACAUGAAAAUAUCCAUUACUAGUACUAACCAAAAUUUGCUAUAAAGUGGGGGGAUAGUACUCAAAGCCUUGUUACAGAGCAAGUAUAAUACUAUAAAGAAACCAUGACGCUCACUUUAACACUAUAAAGUACUACUACAUGCCAUGACCAAAUUCAUUAUUCUUGCAUGAACAUUAGCGCAUCUGGAUGCCGGUUAGAACCGUUCGUGGAUCUUCCAUUUGCUCGGGCGAAAUUUCUACUUCUUUUGCUUAACAAAGCCAUUGCCAUAAGCUUCAAACUCAGCCAAUCUUCCACGGGCUUUGUUCUUUUUAUAAUCACUUUCCGACACUAUUUCGACCUUCUGCUGAGGAAGAUCAUCCAGACAGUGGCCGAGCGGAGCCCUGUUUCAAGCUCCGUUGAUCGGACACUACUUCAACCUUCUGCCGAGGAAGAUUGUUCUGGUUCUGGCCAAGCAGAGCCCCCUUUCGGAUUCAUUAAAGGUCCGCCCAUUCAUAAAGGUAAUCAUCGGAGGUGGUGUUCCUGCUAGGCAUACGCCUGGGAGUAUUGUCGAAGCUUUGAUGCAUGUUUCCUAGUUGAGGUGGUACAGUGAAGGAAGUUCCAUUUAUAGAUGAAGGGUGAGAUGCUUCUGCUAUGUUCUUGAGGUGACAUUAGUGGCAUCUGACUCCGAUUCCAUAAAGAUGCGUGGAUGGUACCCAGAAAUAUGGGGAUAUGGAAGGCGUCUUGGAGAUUGACGUUUUAAAGUUGAUGAUUAAUAGGGUUGACACACGUUAGAAGUGUUGGAGAAAUCCUCUUGAAGUGUUUUAAAGUUGACAAAACGUUUCCAUCGGUCUAGUCUGAAAGCUUGCAGACUCUGCUAUUUAAAGUCUGAAGACUUCCGGACAGCCAGACUCAAGACUCAAAGCCAGACUCUGCUCAUUGACAGUUUCUAAUCCGUUGAAGAAAGGCUAUCCAGAACUUGAUGUUUCAUUAAGGAUGUGACCUUAUCGACUGGAGAAGAUCUCUUUGCUGGACAUGACAUGAUGGAAUCCUUUAUUUGAUCAUAAUUGAUUCGAAGAUUAAGGAUCCGAUGAUUGGCAAAGUAUACUUGGAAGGUUCUACUUAUGGAAACCGAGAUCCUGAUUGUAUGGGCAAACAGGAUUGAUAGGCUAUCGACAUGUUCCUUUAAUAGCUCGAAUGAUCUUCCUAAUUGAUUCCGUCCAACGGGUAGAUUGGAGGAAUUCCUUUGGUAAGUGCGAACGGGUAUGAUGGCAUGAAGGAGUAUAUAAGGAAGACGUUCCAGUUGUUCGAGGGUGUGCACGAUAGAAGAAUUCCAAAGUCUGAAGCUCUUUGUUCUUAGUCAAUUCAUUUGUUGAGCGAAAUCUUGUAAACAAAAGAGAGUCUAUAUUUGUGAGAAACCUUGAGGAAGUGUGGUAGAACAUCUACACUGUGGAAUCAAGGAAAAGCUGUGUUGUAACUUCUCUUUUGUUCAUAGUGAAAUCCAGCCGGUGGGCUGUCAAUGCGGAAGAGUGGACGUAGGCUUGGAAUAAGCUGAACCACUAUAAACCUUGUGUUAAAUUUUCUCUUCUCUACUCUUUACUUUACUUUAAUCGUAUUAAAAGAGAACUUCAUUUCUAUCGUUUGCCUAGAAUCGCUUCCGUAUCUCGAGAAAUUAUUUGUGCACCUAUUCAUCCCCCUUUCUAGGUGCUUAUACUAGCUAUCUCAAUUGGUAUCAGAGCCUGUGUACUCACUUUGUUUGAAGUGUUUUACUUCAAAGUUAAAGAUCCAUGGCUAGUAUGUUGGCUCCAGGGCUGGUAGAAGGGCAAAGCAAUACCAGACCGCCUUACUUUGAUGGAAAUGAUUACAACAUAUGGAAAAACAAGAUGAAGGCGUUCCUAAGAUCAAAGGAUCCUCUGGAAUGAGACGUUGUAGAAAAAGGAAUCAUUCCUAAAGCUGCACCUAUCUCAGAAAGAGGAAAAGAUACUGUUGAGUCUAGCGAAAUGACUCAGGAAGAAAUAAUCAAGAGACAAGCUCUUGAUGCAAAAGCAAUUUAUUCUUUAUAUUGUGCUUUAUCUCCUACUGAAUAUAACAGAAUAUCUUCUUGUGUUACAGCUAAAGAAGUCUGGGAUAGAUUACAUAUUACCUAUGAAGGAACCGAUCGAGUGAAAGAGACUAGAAUCAACAUUCUCCUCGGUCAAUAUGAAGCCUUCAAAAUGAAAUCAGGAGAAUAUAUAACUGAUACGUUUAGUCGUUUUACAGAAAUCGUGAAUGGUCUUGAAAAUCACGGUCAACCAAUUUCUGAUCCCAUGAAGGUACACAAGCUACUGCGUAGACACUCCAAGGAUUGGAAUCACAUAAAGACCUCAAUCAGAGAGACCCAAAGAAUCAUGCCACUAUCUGUUGAUGAGUUGGUCGGAACUCUUCAGUCUUAUGAAGUGGAACGAAUCAAUGAAGACGAAGACCCUAAAGGUAAGAAAUCCAUUGCAUUAAAAUCUAAUGAUGAUUCUGAUGUUACAGAGUCUAAAGACGAUAUGGAUGAUGAGGAGCUUGCUCUCAUGAUAAAAAGAUUCAGAAAGCUGAACAGAAAAGGAAGAAGAUUCAAUCCAAAGAAACAAAGUUUUCAAAAGCAACAGACUAAGUUUGUUGAGGAUGAUGAAUCAAACAAAGAUGUAGUCUGCUUUGAAUGUAAGAAAAAUGGACACAUUAGACCCAACUGUCCUCUUCUGAGGAAGAAGAAAGGAAAGACUGAAAAGUAUCGAAAGGCUCUUAAAGCAGAAACCUGGAGUGAUACAGAGUGUGAAGAAAGUGAUGAUGAUUAUGCCAAUAUAUGUCUAAUGGCACAAUCGGAUUCGGAUUCAAACUCCGAGACAGAUUCAGAUUCAGAAAGCGAAUUUGAGGUAAGUAACUUCAAAAUCACUAUUAAAGUUUCAAAAUACAUUGAUGAAUUGUGUUUUAGUCUUAAGACUUCUCUUAAAAGAAUUUCCGAACUCAAGAAGGAAAACUCUGCUCUAAAACAACAGGAAAAUAUUUUAAAAGAAAAAGUGAAAUGUUUAGACAAGAAUGUUUCUUCUCUUAAAGAAAGUGAAGAUAAUCUUUUAAAAGAAAAUGCAUUCUUGAAAAGUGAUAUCUCAAAUAUUUCCAAAAGAUUUUCUAUAGGAUCUGAGAAACUAGAAAAAAUUCUCUCUGUUCAAAGACCUUAUUUCAAUAAAUCUGGUUUGGGAAUGACUGCUGAAACCGUUUCUUUAAUUGAUUUUCCUAAAGUAAAGGAAAGAAUCAAACAAAGACCCAUAAGAGAUGCUUACAAAAAUCAUUUUAAAAGAAUCUUUGUAAAACCAGUAGGUCGCAAUGCUCUCAGAUGCUCAAAGUGCAAUAGUGCAGAUCAUUUUGAAAAAGAAUGUCCUAUGAUUUGGAAACCUGUUAAAAAGGUUUGGGCAAAAACCGCAUAUCAUACUAACACCAAUGGACCCAAGAAAAUAUGGGUACCAAAGAAGGUUUGAGUUUCUUUUUUAAAUGCAGGUCACUAUCAAGAAAAAGGUAAAAUGGUAUCUGGAUAGUGGAUGCUCAAGACACAUGACAGGAGACUCAAAUUACUUCAUAAAGCUUAUUUGAGUAAAUGGUGGAAAAGUUUCUUUUGGAGAAAACGGCAAAGGAAAAAUUGUGGGAUUUGGAACUGUAAAGAUUGGAAACCUCACAAUCAGCAAUGUUUCCUUAGUGGAAUGACUUAAUUACAAUUUGCUCAGUAUUAGUCAACUAUGUGAUACUGGUUUCAAAAUCAACUUUCAAGAGAGAAUAUGUUCAGGAAUUAGUAAAGAUUCUACUCAGUCAUUCAUGGGUCGAAGAUAUGGAAAUAUCUAUCUCUUGGAUGUGAAACCAGAUGAAUCGCAAUGUCUAAUCUCAAUCCAAGACGAAGCAAACUUAUGGCACAGGAAGCUUGGGCAUAUCAAUAUGAAGCAGAUAGCCAAAAUUUCAGCAAAGAAGCUUGUUCGUGGUCUACCCAAUUUAUCAUACCAAAAGUCUGAUCUAUGUACACCAUGUAUAUUGGGAUAACAGGUGAGAAAUUCCUUUAAACCAAUAAAUCAAGUUUCAACUAAUCGUGUACUGCAGCUUCUGCAUAUGGAUCUUUUUGGACCAACCAGAACACAAAGCAUUGGAGGUAAGAAAUACUGCCUAGUAAUUGUGGAUGACUACUCACGAUUUACUUGGGUAUAUUUCUUAGCAAGUAAGUCUGAAACUUUCUCUUACUUUGAAAAGUUUGCUAAAAAGGUUCAAAAUGAAAAAUGGUAUGUUAUCUCGAGUAUAAGAACAGAUCAUGGAGGUGAAUUUGAAAAUCAUGAUUUUACAAAAUUUUAUAAUGAAUCUGGUUUUCAGCAUGUAUUCUCCUCUCCAUAUACUCCAGAGCAAAAUGGAGUUGUGGAAAGAAAGAAUAGAUCGCUUCAAGAAAUGUCUAGAACUCUUUUAAUUGAAAGUAACAUCUCUUCACGUUUUUGGGCUGAAUCAGUUUCAACAGCAUGUUACAUUAUAAAUAGAGUUUUUCUAAGGCCUAUUCUAGAAAAAAAAAAAAACCCCUAUGAACUAUUCAAAGAAAAGAAGCCUAUUGUUUCAUAUUUUCAUGUAUUCGGAUGCAAAUGUUUUAUACUGAAAAAUGCAAAUGAUCAAGUUGGUAAGUUUGAAGAAAAGUCAGAUGAAGGCAUCUUCCUUGAAUAUUCAACCACAAGCAAAGCGUACAGAGUCUACAACAAGAAAACUCAAACAGUGGAAGAAUCAAUGAAUGUUAAAUUCCAAGAUUCUAUGCAAAAUGAAUCCAUUCAGACUCAUCUUGAAGAAUCUGAACCUGCUCCAGACUCUACAAAGUCUAAAUCUCAGGAAAUAGCUCAGACUUUGAAGGACCAGCAACAAGUGACUGUUGAAGAUUCAAGUGAAGGAAGUGACCAUCAAUCUGACAAAUUAACCAGCAACUGGAAACAUAAGUCCAGUCAUCCCAAAGAUCUUAUUAUUGGAGACAUCAAUGAAGGAAUUCGCACAAGAUCCAAAAGGCGCGAAGAGUCUAGUGUUGUGGCUCUUAUUUCUGAAAUAGAACCCAAAAGUAUAGAAGAAGCUUUAUCUGAUGAAAGCUGGAUUGAAGCUAUGCAAGAAGAGCUCAAUCAAUUCAGUAUUAAUGAUGUCUGGGAAUUGACUCCUAAACCGAAAGGUAAGUCUGUUAUUGGAGCUAAAUGGGUUUUCAGGAACAAGAUGAACGAGAAAUGAAAAGUCAUAAGAAACAAGGCAAGACUCGUGGCCAAGGGAUACACACAAGAAGAAGGGAUAGACUAUGACGAGACUUACGCACCAGUAGCAAGGUUAGAAGCAAUUCGAUUAUUACUUGCUUUUGCUUGUUAUAAAAAUUUUAGGUUAUUCCAAAUGGAUGUCAAAAGUGCCUUCCUAAAUGGAUUCAUGCAUGAGGAAGUCUAUGUGGAACAACCACCUGGGUUUGAAGACCCAAGGAAACCAGACUCAGUAUUCAGACUCAAAAAUGCCUUAUAUGGCUUAAAACAAGCACCUCGAGCUUGGUACGACAGACUGAGUAAGUUUUUAAUUAAAAAUGGUUUUGUUAAAGGUAAAGUAGACACUACUCUUUUUAUUAAAAGAGAAAGUAAGAGUUUUCUGCUUGUUCAAAUAUAUGUCGAUGAUAUUAUUUUUGGAUCCUCUAAUGAAAGUCUGUGCAAGAAAUUCUCUAAGACCAUGCAGGAUGAAUUUGAAAUGAGCAUGAUGGGUGAGUUAACCUUCUUUCUUGGACUUCAAGUGAAACAACUGAAGGAAUGAACUUUUAUUCAUCAAGAAAAAUAUGCUAAUGAUCUUGUUAAAAAGUUUGGACUGGACAAUUGCAAAAAGGCUGAAAUACCAAUGUCAAGUUCCUUGAAGAUAGACAAAGAUGAAGGAGGAAAGAAAGUCGACCAAAAGUUAUUCAGGAGUAUCAUCGGUUCACUUCUUUAUCUUACUGCUUCUAGACCUGACAUUUUGUUUAGUGUUUGCAUUUGUGCCAGAUUUCAAGCAGACCCUAAAGAAUCUCAUUUAAAUGCUGCAAAGCGUAUUAUCAAAUAUAUUGCAUCAACUUCAAGCUUUGGUCUCUGGUAUCCUAAAAGGGGAGACUUUACUCUUCUUGGAUACUCAGACGCAAACUUAGCCGGAUGCAGAAUUGAUAGAAAGAGCACCUCAGGUACCUGUCAACUACUUGGAGGCAGGACGGUGUCUUGGUUUUCAAGGAAGCAAAGUACAGUAGCUCUCUCUACAGCAGAAGCAGAGUAUGUAGCUCUUGGAAGUUGUUGUUCACAAAUUCUGUGGAUAAAACAACAGCUAAGAGACUUUGGAAUUGAAGAUUCAUGCACGAAGAUUAAAUGUGAUAACACCAGCACAAUCAAUCUCACCAAAAAUCCAAUUCUUCACUCAAGAGCAAAGCAUAUAGAGAUUCGACAUCACUUCAUUAAAGAUCAUGUUCAAAAUGGAGAAAUUACGAUUCAGUUUGUUGACUCAAAGAACCAACUUACGGAUAUAUUUACAAAGCCUUUGGAGAAAAAUCAAUUUGAAAUUAUCCGUUCCAGACUCAACAUUUUGAGGUUUGAAGAAGUUAAAGUCUAGAGACUCUCAGACUUUGACUGCAAGACUUUGACUGUAAGUUAUUCUCUCUCUAAAUCUCAUCUUGAAAAGGUACGUUCAUCAACCAUGUUUGAUUAUUGUUAUCUCAACCGCUAUCUUUAAUUGACGAGAUUAUUGCAACGUUUCCUUUUGAAAAAUGAGUUAUUUUGAAAUGACCAUUUUUCGAAAAAGGCAGUUAUUUUUUUAAAAUGCAUCUUUUCACUUUCCAUUACGACGUUUGUUAUUCCCUCCUUUUGACUGUUUUAUAUACAGUCGGUUUCUCUUCGCUUAACUCCAAAACCCUAAAAAGCACCAAUCUUCCAUUCCUGUUUUCCUCUCUUAUUUAAUCUUCGAAAAAGUUGUCAUCUUUCUUAGGAAAGUCAAGCAAGGAAUCUUUCAAAGACUAAGAAAGAUGUCGUCUUCAAGAAAGUCUUCGAGGAUCGCAAGCAGGGGACCACGGCGAAUGAGUGAGGGGCCUACGCACUUCGAUCUCACUGAAGAAGAAGUGUCUCCAAAUCAGCAGCAGAGUCCACAACAUUCUCAGCAGCGUCAUUCUCCUCCAUCUAGACCUCAAGGUGUUGAUCAUCAACAAAAGGAAGAAAUCAUUGAAGAUGCAGAUCCUGUAAGAGUUCAAAGACCCUCUUUUAUUUAUAAGCUGUAUCGUGCUUUAAAAGGGACUGGUACUCCAUUGAACUAUGUCGAUGAUUUUCUUAAGGACAAAGGAUAUGGAAAUGAAUAUAUCUUUUUGCGAAAAAUGGAAAGUUUGAGAAUUGCUCGUAAAGGGGUGGCAGAAGAAACCCUUGCGAAUAUUCCAAGUGAUCCUCGUGAUUGGGGAUUUAAUCCGAUAGAUGGGAAUGAUGAUGACAAAUUGUACAACCAAUUUCAACCGAGAAUGGGUGUUGCGGUGGAAAAUCGAGGAAAAAGGGGAGAGUUGUUUAGAUCAAAGGAACAGAAUGAUCUAUACUCAAAACUGCUGAAGCGUGGGGUAAUAAACCCUAAGAGUGUGGAUUUUGAUUUUCUGGAUGUGAAUGUGAACUUGAGGGAAAAGUUCGGUUAUUUUCAACUUGAAAAAUUCUGCUCAGACACCACAGAGGCCUAUCCUCAAUUAACUGCAUAUUUCUAUUCAAAUCUUAGUUUCUUGGAUGCGAAUAGAUUCUCUUUCAGUGUCAAAGAUCAAGACUUUGUAGUGGAUAUGGAUAUGCUAGCAGAUGUGUUAGGAGUUGAGAGAGGAAGAUAUCAACGGAUCAAAGUAUCUAUUGCUCGUGCUACAUUGGAACUUGUUAAGGACAGGAGAACAGAGGAAAAGAUUUCUUACUCAAGGAUGAGUGCAUUCAACAUUUUGCUUCACAAGAUUGUGAUCAAUUGCCUCAGACCAAAAUCAAUUUCCAAGACUGAUGUUUCAAGUUCAGAGGCAAAGCUGAUGUAUGCCAUCAUCACUGGGAAAAUGUUUUCUCUUCCUCACACUAUUAUGUUCCACAUGUAUAAAGCAGUGAUGAAGGACAGAGGUCAACUUCUUUAUCCAAGUCUUGUGACGAAGUUAUUCAGACAUCUGAACACUCAGCCUCUGCAAAUUCUUUGUGCUCGAUCGUGCAAUCAUAUGGUGGUAGGACUGAAAAUGGUGACUAAAAUGUGUCUGAAGGAAUUAAGCAAGGCAUUGGAGAAAUUCAAGGAGAAGACUCCAGUCAAAACUCAUCCAAUCUCUUCUGCAGCAAAAAGAAAAGGGAAGGAGCCCAUGGAUGCUUCAUCCAAGAGAAGAAGAGCUCUCAUCAUUGAGGAUGAAGAUGAUGAGGAAAACAUCACUAUUUCUGCAAUGGCAUUGAAGAAUCUGAGUCGUUCUGUUCCAGAGAAAGACUCAGAACAGCGGACCAAAGAAAGAGAAGAGAAAGAAGCAGAGGAAAAAGAAACGGAGGAAAGAGAAGAAGAAGAAGAAGAAAGAGAUGCUGAGAAAGAGAGAGUUGAAAAAGAAGAAGAGGAGAAAAGAGAUCAAAAUGAAGGAGAACAUGAGGAGCACUCUUCUCCACCUAAAGGCAUGGAAAAAGGGGGAGAUCAAGAGGAAAGAGGAAUGCCCUCAUAUCCUGCAACCAGUGAGGGAGUCAGUCGCUCUCCAGCAGAUCCAGAGGACAUCUAUGCCUCUCAAUAUCCUGAGGAAGGUCAUGAUGUUUCAUCGCCAAAUCUGCGUGAUUAUGCUGAUAUACCAUCGUCUGCAUUUACUCCAUCAGAUCGUGCCGACGCCAGUACGCAGACCGAUAAUUCAGCAGAUUUUCGCAGAGUUAUGGAUAUUCUCUUGGAGAUGCAAGGUCAGAUAUAUGCAUUGGGAUGCGAAGUUCAGAACUUGCAGAAUGCAGGUCAAGCUUCUUCGGGUUUAUUGGAUGAUCAGAUCCAAGCCCUUUCUCUUCAGAUUCAAGCUAAUGCUAAGGGUGAGGAUGUUGCACAACUGAAAGAAGACUUGAAAAGGCUAGAAGGCAUCGUUCAGUCAAUGGGAGAUUUCCAGUUUGUUCGUGUUCCCAAGCAUUCUUGACUCUACUCCAUUUUCAUCUCAACCUUUCUUUUUUAUGCUGACAAAAAGGGGGAGAGAUGUGAGAUUUGAAAAACUUUGAACUUAAAUUUGUCGAGCUUUUGGCUUGUUUGGUUUGUGGUUUGUUUUGACUUGACUUGCGUGUCUGGAUGUGGACUAAAUUUGGGAUUUGGAUUUGACUGCUUAUAUUAUUAACUACUAUUGAUAUCUUAUGGAUGGCUUUAUUGCAUACUAGACUAACCUAUUUUCUGUGGUUGCAGAUUCUAGUGUUAUUCAUUUAGCCAUUUAUCUCUAUAAGAUAUGCAUAUGUGUUUGAGAAAUGUUUUGCAGGUCAAAGUUUUCCAAAUCUGCAGGAAAGUUUUGUCACCAUCAAAAAGGGAGAGAUUGUUGGAGAAAUCCUCUUGAAGUGUUUUGAAGUUGACAAAACGUUUCCAUCAGUCUAGUCUGAAGGCUUGCAGACUCUGCUAUUUAAAGUCUGAAGACUUCCGGACAGCCAGACUCAAGACUCAAAGUCUAUUCUCAUUGACAGUUUCUAAUCCGUUGAAGAAAGGCUAUCCAGAACUGGAUGUUUCAUUAAGGAUGUGACCUUAUCGACUAGAGAAGAUCUCUUGGCUGGAUAUGAUAUGAUGGAAUCCUUUAUUUGAUCAUAAUUGAUUCGAAGAUUAAGGAUCCGAUGAUUGGCAAAGUAUACUUGGAAUGUUCUACUUAUGAAAACCGAGAUCCUGAUUGUAUGGGCGAACAUGAUUGAUGGGCUAUCGACAUGUUCCUUUAAUAGCUUGAAUGAUCUUCCUAAUUGAUUCCGUCCAACGGGUAGAUUGGAGGAAUUCCUUUGGUAAGUGCCAACGGGUAUGAUGGCAUGAAGAAGUAUAUAAGGAAGACGUUCCAGUUGUUCGAGGGUGUGCACGAUAGAAGAAUUCCAAAGUCUGAAGCUCUUUGUUCUUAGUCAAUUCAUUUGUUGAGCGAAAUCUUGUAAACAAAAGAGAGUCUAUAUUUGUAAGAAACCUUGAGGAAGUGUGAUAGAACAUCUACACUGUGGAAUCAAGGAAAAGCUGUGCUGUAACUUCUCUUUUGUUCAUAGUGAAAUCCAGCCGGUGGGCUGUCAGUGCGGAAGAGUGGACGUAGGCUUGGAAUAAGCCGAACCACUAUAAACCUUGUGUUAAACUUUCUCUUCCCUACUCUUUACUUUACUUUAAUCGUAUUAAGAGAGAACUUCAUUUCUAUCGUUUGCCUAGAAUCGCUUCCGUAUCUCGAGAAAUUAUUUGUGCACCUAUUCAUCCCCCCUUCUAAGUGCUUAUACUAGCUAUCUCAAGAAGAAGCAUCGCUUGGCUUUCAAUAAUAUCUUUGCGAGAACUAGGAUUGAGCUAUAAAGGACCCUUCGAGAUGAAUCGGGUGGCUUUACUUAUACAUUGUGUAGAGUGUCAAGAUUCUGAUAAUAGCUUGUGAUGGUACGGUUGCGACUAGUUCAAACUUCACAAGCAAAAUCCCAUCCUCCAUAUUGUAGAAGGGAGUCAAAAUUGUAUAAGAUACAGUAUAUGGAUUGUAGCGGACCUUAAAAAUAAAUGAUACGUAUAAAUCGAAGGAAAUUAUGACCAAAUAGUAAAUGCUUCCCUUGCUCAAAACCCACAAAGAGAAUCAAUUCAAACCCCUAAUCAAAAGUUGUAUAACGCCUUGAUUCCUUGAAUAUCAUCCGCAUGGAGACCUUUGGUAGUCCCAGGAGCUAUGGAGGAGUACAUGAUGGCCCCUUCAACAUCGCUGUGCCCUAGCCCAAGGAGGUGACCGAUCUCGUGUAAAGCCACCGUCUCCACGUUAAAAGCGGCCGAGCCGGAGGGUGGAUCAACGGCCCACUUCUCAUCCGCGUCGUAGUGGAACAGCCCGACUGUUGGCGGAAACGCGUGGGCAAGAGUUCCUCCGGGGCCAUCGAAGCUGUUGUGUGCACCGUCUCCAUGGUCUCCUCUUGCAAACCCUAUCUGUAUGUUGGCAAUUUCAUGGUCCUCGACGUACGAGAAAGUGAAGCGUGUCACCGAGGUCCACGUGGCAAAAGCCCGGGCAACUGGGGCCGUGGCAGCCUCUGGGGUCCCUGGGAGGAAGCCAUAGGUGAGAUGGUAAUUAGAGGCCGGCCAUCUAGGGCUUCCCUCCAAGAACGCAUAGUGAGACACGGUAUGGAAAGAUCCGAUCCCACGGAGGUUCCGCCCUUUCUUUCCGAACCCCAUGCGGGUGGUUCCAUUAAUGAUGUCCGCCACGCCGCAUCGUGGUCUCAUCAUUUUGGACGUAGUCUGGGGAUCCAAAGUUCCCGUGACAUUCAGAUGAUAAUUGAGUUGGUACGUCUUAACAGCAAAUUCUAACAGUCGUCGAAGUCGUCGUCGUCGGCAUGGAUUGUCGGAUGACCGGAUUGGUGUAUUCAAUACCAAAUUUCUCGAGGUAUCUCUUGAGCUCGCGAAUGCCUCCGGUAUGAUUGCCCUUGUGACAUCCCUGAAGGUGCUGGAGGAACUCAAAGGGCGAUUUUAUUUGGUCAUCUGAAUGUGCUGAGGCGGCGUGAAAGAGGGAAGUGAGGAGGAGCAAGUAUGAGAAGGUGGAAAAGAACAUAGCAUCCAUGGCUGAACUGAUGAACGCGCACUCUUCUAGCAGAGAAUGAAUGUUUUAUGCAUUGUUGCCGUAUCGAAGGAGGCCUAUUUAUGGAUACAUGUCCCUUUUGAGGUGUAGCAGUAGCUAGGUCAUAAGGUCCCUUCGAAAUUGAAAUGUUCAUGAAUGGAAGAAACCGCAAGUACGUACUAACAGACAACGACCGCAUCGAUCUUCGAGAAAAACGCGUAUAAGACUGGGAAUUCGAGGAAAGAAACCCUGAGUACGGUACUAAAAACGACCUUUACUAGGUCUUUGAGAAGAAGACGUGUAAAACUGGGAACCGAAGAAGUAAUAUUGUUAGAACUCAAUUGUUAAUUUUAUGUAUUUCAUAGAGAAAGCCUCGCAGACACCUAGUCUUUGAUCCCCACUUAAGUAUCGCGAGCCAAACACAAUGCUAAAGCAUUGUGUUAUAUAAUUCAAAAGAAUCGACACGUGGGAUUCCUAUAUUGCGUGUGAAAAGCCACAAAUGCUGUAUAGGUGCAUUCUAUUUUCAUUAAAUGCAAGUAGUCCCUGUACUUUCUAAUAUGUAAUAUAGUUCCCAAACUUUAGUAUAAUGUACAAUGUUAUUUUUAAACUUUUAAUUUGUAUAAUAUAGUUCUUAAACUAUUAGUAAAUGUUCAACAUAAUCAUUUUGUUUGCAUGAUUUUCAUGGAAUUUAGGUACUAAAUUGAAUAUUUACCAGUAGAUUAAGGACCACAUUGAACUAACUAAAAGCUUAAGGAUGAUAUUAUACAUUGAACCAAAAUUCAAGGACUACAUUGAACAAAUUAAAAGUUCAAAGAUGACAUUGGACAUUUAAUCAAUUUUCAAGAAUCAUUUACGUAAUCAUCCCUUCCAUUAAAGAUGCGGUGUACGGCCGAUGAUAGUGCAAAUCAAUCUAUAAAAAAAUUUGUGUUUUUAGUGGGACCCUCUAUGAAUUCUAUAUCUCCUAAUGCGAUUAACUUGAUUGAGGAUAAGGCAAUGUUGAGAUAACUAAUUAAUCAUCGGUCUACUAUCAUAUGGAGCAACAGCCACCGCCCCUCAGCAUUGUUUUUUUUUUUUUGUUUUCUUUUUUUUUGGGGGGGGGGGGUUUGGUAAAGGAAGUUUAAUUGAACCAAAACGGUCUUAAACAUUCAGGCUUACAAUAGGAGCAUCAAGACAAAGCAAGUCCCACAGUGGCUGAGGGGAUGUGCUACCCAAUUAGGAAGUAAAAGGUUGAGUUUUUAAGUUUAGCAACCCAAUCCUUUACUCGGUUAUUCUCUACUACAAUAGAUGAUCGUCGGAUUAAUAAAAAGGCCCAUUAAGUUACGGGCUCCCGAGAUAAGCACGUUGACUUUCCAAGGCAAGUGAUCUGCUGCGCUCUCACUAGAUCAACUAACACCAAGCAAUCUGACUCCAGCUGCAGCUGUUCUUCACUUCUAGACACAAGGAGAGAGAGGGCUUCUGGCAAAGCAACGGUUUUCGCCUGUAGAGUAGAAGACACCGAUACUAUUUUGGCUGCUCUGUUCAAGAGAUUCCCCAACUCAUCACGAACGACGCAAGCUAUGGCUCUAGUGAUCUCUCCUUCCUCAUACAAUCCAUCACAAUUCACCUUUAAAGUUCGCCCCUUUGGUGGAAUCCAACUUUGAGAUAAGUUCCUCUUCUCUACUUGACUCGUCGAUUGCUCAAGGUUCCAUCGUCUCCAGUUGUUGAGCAUAUUGUGUGUUGAUUCCACUAGAAAAAUUGGAUUGGAUGCUGGUUGCGAAAAACAAAAUCACAUCUUGCCUUCCCGAUAAAUCACAGGACACUUGCAACCAUCUUAAAGGAAGCUGAAUGCUUAAUUCUCACUCCAAAUUGCUGUAUCCAAACAUCAAUUCUUGACAGCCCUUGCCUUAAGAUUAUAAUAUGUAAUGCAGGGUAACUCCAUAUCCGUGAAGUCCAGGAACAUAGCAAGAAUAGGUGCUCUACCGUCUCGGCUUCUUGUUUACAGAAUGGACGUGUGGGUCUUCUGAAUUAGUUUUCUCUAGUAGGUAUAGCGUUCUGACAUAUACUCCAUGUGAAUAUUCUGACCUUGGGAGGGGUUUUCAUGUGCCAAAUUUUGUUCCAAAGCUCAUGAGGUGGCUGAGUAUGCGUUGAUGUUUGCUUUUUCGUGUUGUGAAUGGUGGCUGUUUUGUCCACAUAUACACGCUCUUCACUAUGAACCGGCCUAUUUCUGUAUCAAUCCAUACUAACUCGUCUUGUGUGCUCUGAUUUCUCAGUAGGAUUGUUAAUAUUUCGUUAACAAUUUGGACAUCAAAUAGACAGUGAAGGGUCCGUUCGUCCCAUCGAAUCUCUUCUUUCAAAAUCAAAUCUACAACUUUUGCUAGUUCUCCACAAUUUGCUAGCCCCUAAUGAUUCCUCUUUUGAGCCAUCUAUCUUCUUGAAUCUCAUAUUUGUUAUGAAAUUGUACGUCGAUUCCAGAAAAAUAAUGUUCGGAAACAAUUCACCAAGCAAAAUAUAAUAAUAAAAUAAUAGAAUCAGAUGAACAUGCCAGAAAAUUUGUUAUUGAAGUUCAUCCAAACCUAGGCUACAUCUCCGCGCAGAGGCACUCUGCGAAUCCACUAGACUUCAAAAAAAGUUGGAAUAUAACGACGAUCUUCUCUUAAGAUCAGGGCACAAAGAGAUUGAGAACCCUCAUCAAGAAAAAACUCACUUUUUUCUUCUCUCUUUUUCUUGCCUCUCUAUUUCCUUUUUCAGCGUCUUGACGGCUAGGGUCUUGCCAUCGCUAAUAUAAAGAUACCACUUUUAACCUAAAAGGAAAUCUAAUAAAAAAGAUAAAAAAAAGCCCCUAAAAACAAAUAUUUGGCUUCAUCUAUAACAAUCUCCUACUUGAAGACAAAUAUACCCAAGCACCAAGCAACUUUGUAUUCAUCUUCUUCAAAAAAAAAAUAGUUGAAAAACUUGUACCUCUGCAAUACUCGUCAUCAAUCAGCAUGGAGUAAUACCAAUGGUAGUAGUACAGAAAAUAUGAUUCUCUCUGCCUAUUACCUUGGUUAUCAUGUUAGCUGGAUUCUUCGAGCCAUCAAUCUUCUGUAGUUUUAACUCAUUAUCUUUCAAUGCUGACCUGAUAAAGUGAUAACGUUUCUUGAUAUGUCUAGUCCUUGAGUGAUAAGCUGCAUUCUUUACUAAGUGCACUGCACUUUGACUAUCACUCCACAGUGUGCCGAUUGGCUGUUUUCGAUGUAACUCCUCCAUAUAAUCUUGUAACCAUAUGAUUUCCUUGGAGACUUCUGUGAUCGCCACGUAUUCUGGCUCUGUUGUUGAUAAAGCCACUACUUUUUGUAAUUGAGACACCCAACUCACUACUGUACCUGCAACUGUAAAGACAUAUCCAGUGGUACUCUUAUCACUAUCUCGAUCACCCGAAUGAUCUGCAUCUACAUAACCCUGCAACUUUAGAGAUGUACCACCAUAACAAAGUGAGCAAUUGAAAGUACCUACUAGAUAUCUCAAUAUCCAUUUUACUGCAUUCCAAUGCUCUCUGCCUGGGUUUUGCAUAUAUCGACUCACAACUCCCACUGCAUGUGCAAUAUCUGGUCUCGUGCUCACCAUGGAAUACAUCAAACUCCUCACUGCUGAUGCAUAUGGAACUACCGCCAUCUCAUCUUUCAAAGCAUGAGCGCUUGGACACAUAUCCUUGAAAAGUUUGAAGUGACUCGUUAGAGGAGUUGCAACUGGUUUUGCUUUAUUUAUGUUAAAUCUCUUUAACACAUUGUUCACAUAGUCUUCCUGUGACAACCAUAAUUUCUUAUUUUUCCCAUCCCUGAUGAUUUUCAUGCCUAAAAUAUUCUUGGCCUCUCCCAAACCUUUCAUAGCAAACUGUGAUGAUAACAUCUUCUUCACUUCUAUGAUUCUCUUCAUAUUGGAACUAGCCCCUAAUAUGUCAUCUACAUAUAAAGAGAGAUACACAAUAUCAUCAUCAUCAUCAUACUUGCGAAAAUAAACACAGUGAUCAAACUCACAGUGUGCAAAUCAUUUUUCUUGCAUGAAACCAUCAAAUUUUAGGUAUUAUUGCCGCGGAGCUUGUUUCAAGCCAUACAAGCUUUUCUUCAAGCAACAUACCAUGUGCUCCUUACCUUUGACUUCAAAACCUUUAGGUUGUGCCAUGUAUAGUUCUUCAUCUAAGUCACUGUGUAAAAACACUGUUUUUACGUCUAACUGCUCAAGAUGAAGAUCCUCCACUACAACUAUACUCAGCAGAACUCUAAUUAAUGUCAUUUUCACUACAUGCGAAAAUAUCUCGGAGUAGUCGAUCCCUUCUUUUUGAGAAAAGCCCUUGAGUACAAGUCUCACCUUGUAUCUAAUACUACCAUUUGCUUCAUUCUUAACCCUGUACAUCCAUUCGUUUAAUAAAUCUUUUUUACAUGUGGGCAACUUGGUCAACUCCCAAGUUUUGUUCUGAAGUAACGAGCUCAUCUCGUCUUUCAUAGCACACUCCCAUUGCAAGUGAGACGUGUCUGCAUUUGCCUCAUCGUAAGUCUCCAGUUCCCUUGAAUCUGUAUAUAAGACAUGGCUCAGAACAGUAUUAGCUGAUGGAUCAAAAAUUACCUUUGGCUUUCUCACACGUGUAGACCUUCUCAAGACAGGUACUUCAGGGUCAUUCAUUUGCUCCAAAUCACUGCGUUCUUCUUGAACUACCUCUUCACCAAUAAUAGGCUCAUCUUGAACCUCUCUUUCAAGUGAACUUCGAUCUAUUGGAAAUAUCUUCACGAGCAUUGUGUCUAAUUCAACAUAUUCUGGUUGUACUACCUUCUCAUGUUCUGUCUCUGUCUGACGAUCCUUGUACAUCUUUUCUUCAUGGAAUACCACAUUGCGAUUGCGGAUGACUUUGUUAUUCUCAUAAUCCCAUAGCCUAUAGCCAUACUCGUCGCCACCGUAUCUGAUAAAGACGCACUUCUGGGACUUAGCAUCAAGCUUUUUCCUAUCCUCCCUAUCAAUCAAAGCAUAUGCAAUACAACCAAACACUUUUAGAUGUGAAUAAUUAAUCUUUUUACCUAACCACAGUUCUUGUGGUAUUUCUCCAUCCAACGCACUAGAUGGACUUCUGUUGAUAAGAUAAACAGUUGCAUUAACUAUGGCGGCCCAUAAGUGUAGCGGGAGACUCGCAUGUAGCCUCAUGCAUCUCGCACGUUCUAGAAUAGUCCUGUUCAUUCUUUCAGCUACACCGUUUUCUUGAGGAGUUUUAGGAACAGUCUUUAACCCGUGUAUGCCUUCUCGACUCAGAUAAUCUGCAAAUUCUUUACUUGUGUAUUCACCACCAUUAUCAUACUUCAUAGCUUUAAUCUGAUAAUCUGUUUCUUUUUCUACCAUGGUCUACCACAUUCUAAACAUCCCGAAUACUUCUGAUUUUUCUUUAAGAGUAUAGACCCAAGUCUUCCUUGUUGCAUCAUCAAUGAAUGUGACGAAAUAUCUCUUACCACCAUAAGAGAGUUCUUGAGCAGGUCCCCAUACAUCAGUAUGAACCAACUCUAGCUUAUGGCCUUUAUUUUGUCGUUCAUUCAAUUGAAAACUAACAGCCUUUUGUUUUCCAUAAAUGCAACUCUCAUGAAAAUCUAACUCAACUUUUUGCAAACCUGGGAGUAAUUUUCUCAAGUGUAACUGCUUUACACAUUUUUCACCGAGAUGUCCCAAACAAUAAUGCCAAAGAGUAGAUAAAUUACCUGUAACCAUUGUAGUUGCAACCAUAUCACUGAUAUUGUCUCCUUGGAGAAGGUAAACCGUACCCAUACGCUUUCCCUUUGCUACUACUCUUACCCCUGAGGUUAUCUUCCACUCUCCAUAGCCAAAGAUUAUUACCAAACCUUCUUGGUCAAGUUUACUAGUUGAAAUCAGAUUUUUCUUUAAUUUCGGAAUAUGCCUAGUUUCACGCAAAACUAGACGUCCUCCACCUGAGAUGUUCACAGUAACAGUUCAUUUCCCAACAAUUGGACACAUGUGGCCAUUUCCCACAACCACUUGUCCAAAAUCUCCACUGACAUAAUCCUCAAAUAUGUCUCUUUGCGAGGUGCAAUGAAAAAAAAAUACCAUAAUCAAUAAACUAUUUAUCUGUUAUCAAGUCAAACCCUACAGACAAACACAAGUUAUCUAGCAAAGAUUCAUCGCUAACUACAUUAGCACCUUGAUUCUCAUCUUGCUGCUUCUUUUUGUAGGCUUCACACUGAAACCUCCGGUGUCCGGUUUUGUGACAAAACCAACACUCAUCUUUUGCAAUCUGUCUCAUACCCCUUGAUUGUGAUCUGCCACGCCCGCUGAAAUUUCCUCUACCUUUACUUCUUCCACGGUUCUCCACUGCAAGUGCCGUUGAAGAUGUAGAUGCAGAAAAAUUAUCUCCACCUGAGACUUUCCUUCGCAUCUCUUCAUCUAUGAUACUACUCACAGCAUCAUCAAGAGUUAAAUCAUCCUUCAUGGUGCUCAAAAUUCCCUGCACUGCGGUAUUGUAGCUUUCUGAAAGAAAACAUAAAAAUAAUAAAGCUUGAAGCUUCAAAUCUAAAUUUAUGCUUGCGGAUUCCAAUUGACCUGUGACCUGUGUUAAACUAUUAAUAUGCUCUGCCACAGAACCUCUAUCAGAUAACUUCAUAAUAACCAGUUUCUUCAGCAAAAAUACCUGAUUUGAUGUGGACGGCUUUUCAUAAAUAUUCAUUAGAAUAUCCAUGGCUUCUUUUGUAGUUUUUGCUUUCGCCAUGUGGUACCCUGUCUUUUUCGUCAACCCUAGACAAAUCGCACCUAAUGCCUUUCAAUCAAGAAUUUUCCAUUCGGCUUCUGCUGUCGAAUCCAAUUCCGCCAUCUCGGGUUUCCAACCCUCAAAUGGUGCAGAGAUCUUUUUGAUAAAGGUAAUCAUCUAUUUGUAGUUUCCACCAUCCAAAAUCCUCUCCAUUGAACUUAUCGAUUCUAAUUUUAUCUUCUGCCAUACUGUUUGCUUUCAAUUGAACGUCACCGAAAAACCCUCGAUGUUCUUGAUUAGCCAACCCAGGCUCUGAUACCAGUUCUUACGAAAGUACAUCAAUUCCAGAAAAAUAACGUUCGCAAACAAUUCACCAAACAGAAUAUAAUAAUAAAAUAACAUAAUCAGAUGAACACGCCAGAAAAUUUGUUAUCGAAGUUCACCCAAACCUGGGCUACAUCUCCACGCAGAGGCACUCUGCGAAUCCACUAGACUUCAGAAAAAGUUGGAAUACAAUAACGAUUUUCUCUCAAGAUCAAGGCACAAAGAAAUUGAGAACCCUCAUUAAGAAAAAACUCACUUUUUUCUUCUCUCUUUUUCUUGCCUCUCUAUUUCCUUUUUCAACGUCUUGAUGGCUAGGGUCUUGCCAUCGCUAAUAUAAAGAUACCACUUUUAACCUAAAAGGAAAUCUAAUAGAAAAGACAAAAAAAGCCCCUAAAAAUAAAUAUUUGACUUCAUCUAUAACAAUAUUUUCACUUGUUCUUACUGACCACAUCACUAAAUGCGAAAUAGUUUUGCGACCCAUUAAAAUGUUCUGCCAAUCCCAUGAGGGUCGUGAGCCUUUCCUUGCGUUCCAAAAAGAACAUUGAGGGAAAUAAAUUUCUUUCAAGAUCAUAAAGACGAUGAAUUUUGAGCUAACCUCCAAACUUGUUUCCCUAGUAAAGCUUCGUUAAAGGAGAUCAAAUCUCAAAAUCCCACUCCUCCUGAAUAUUUCCUCAUUUUUAACACAUCUCCCUUCUUCCGAUGUUGUCCAUCUUCUGAUUCACUAUUCCUCCACCAAAAAGCAGCAACUUUUUCCUCAAAGGUUUGGUGCAACAAAAUAGGAAUUUUAAAAAUUGAUAUAGCAUAUUGUGGCAAGCUUGUACUAUAGCCUUAAUUAAUAUUUCCUUCCCCGCUUUUGAGAACAAGUUCUCCUUCCACCCCUCGAGCUUUAUAUUAACUUUGGCUAGAAUCCAAGCAAACAUAUGCAUUUUAGAAACUCCCCAAUCAAACGGGAUCCCCAAGUACUUCCUUUCUUUUCUACUUCAGGCACUCUCAACUCAUUGCCCAUAAUUCUUCUCAAAUUCUGUGGACAGCCCACACUAAAAGAAAUACUAAACUUGUUUAAGUUAAUUGCUUGCACAAAAGCAUAGCAAUUUUAAUUCAGAAUCCAAGCUAAGUUCUGGCACAUUUUCACCUUUCCAUCCAAGUAGAAAAUCGAGUCCUUAGCAAAUAAGAGGUGUGAAAGAACAGGACAAUACUUGUUAAGUUUGAUCCCUCUAAUUGUGAAAGACCACCCGGUUCCUGUACUUAGAUGCUUCAUCCAAUCUCUCUACUUCAAUUCUUUAGUUUACUAUAUUUGCUAUUCCCUUGCAGGUCGAUCCGUUUAAGCUCCAAUCCAUAACUUCCCCCCAGUUUGUAGGAACUUUAAUUUGUGAUGAAUUAGAUGUUCGUCUUUCCUCAGAACAUAAAUUCAUUUAUAUAGCAUGUAUCCUGAGACAUGAAAAUCUCUUUAUGCUAUCAAGCAAAGGGACAGUGCCCGAGGCCUUGUUACAUUGCAACUGUAAUUUUCUCGUCGUUUGUGUUGCCUAUCCAAGAAUUAAGAAAGGAUCUUUCAUGUGGCAUGGUUUAUAUCUUUUUGCUAUUCGGAAAGGACACUCAUAAAAAUACUUUGUUCUUUUGCCAAUUGUUUCCUUAAGUUACAAUUUAGUAAGAUCACUCGAUUACUGUACUUAGUUGCCUCAUCUGGGAGUUUGGGACACCUAGAGUGCCAUAACUUAGCACGGGAGGACACUUAAGUACCAUAACUUCAAAAUGGUACACUUGAAUGCCAGUUUCGAAGUUAAAUGAAACACUUAAGUGCCACUCCAGCGAAAAUCCGACCAAAUGGCUGACGUGGCAAUUUUCCGACGAGUUUGGUCCAAAACGGCGUCGUUUUGUACGCUAAUGUGGCGAGAAAAUGCAAAAACGACGUCAUUUCGUGUUUGACGUGUAAAUAAUAAUAUAAAAAUUAAUUAAAUUAGAUUUAAACUUAAUUUUAUUUAAAAUAUUCUAAAAUUUUUUUUUUUAAAAAAGGAGGUUGGAGGGGGCGGCUGANNNNNNNNNNNNNNNNNNNNNNNNNNNNNNNNNNNNNNNNNNNNNNNNNNNNNNNNNNNNNNNNNNNNNNNNNNNNNNNNNNNNNNNNNNNNNNNNNNNNAGUUUGACAAAUACUAUAGAAUAUUUUAAAUAAAAUUAAGUUUAAAUCUAAUUUAAUUAAUUUUUAUAUUAUUAUUUACAUGUUAUACACGAAACGGCGUCGUUUUUGCAUUUUCUUGCCACGUCAGAGUGCAAAACGACGCCAUUUUGGACCAAACUCGUUGGAAAAUUGUCACGUCAGCCAUUUGGCCGGAUUUUCGCCGGAGUGGCACUUAAGUGUUCCAUUUAAUUUCGAAACCGGCACUCAAGUGUACCAUUUUGAAGUUAUGGCAUUUAAGUGUCCUCCCGUGCCAAGUUAUGGCACUUGGGCUGUUCUUCUACCCCUCAACUGGUGUCUUUACUUCAGUUCUUUUGUUUACUACAUUCGCCCUUCCAUUGCAGGUCGAUCCGCUUGAGCUCCAAUUCAUUACUUCCCACCCCCCCUAACUCCUACCAUGAAAAAAAAAGAAAAAGAAAAAAAGAAUCAUUUAUAAAGUCUUCUUAGACAAGAAAAAUCUCCAUUACUAGUACUAGCCAAAAUUUGCUAUGAAGCAGGGGAUAGUACUCAAAGCCUUGUUACAGAGCAAGUAUAAUAAUAUAAAGAAACCAUAACGCUCACUUUAACACUAUAAAGUACUACUACAUGCCAUGGCCAAAUUCGUUAUUCUUGCAUGAACAUUAGCGCAUCUGGAUGCCGGUUAGAACCGUUUGUGGAUCUUCCAUUUGCUCUGGCGAAAUUUCACCUUCUUUUGCUUAACAAAGCCAUUGCCAUAAGCUUCAAACUCAGCCAAUCUUCCACGGGCUUUGUUCUUUUUAAAAUCCCUCUCCGACACUGUUUCGACCUUCUGCUGAGGAAGAUCAUCAGACAGUGGCCGAGCGGAGCCCCGUUUCAGGCUCUGUAGAUCGGCACCGACACUGCUUCAACCUUCUGCCGAGGAAGAUUGUUCUGGUUCUGGCCAAGCAGAGCCCCCUUCCGGAUGCAUUAAAAGCCCGCCCAUUCAUAAAGGUAAUCAUCGGAGGUGGUGUUCCCGGCAGGCAUACGCCUGGGAGUAUUGUCGAAGCUUUGAUGCAUGUUUCACAGUUGAGGUGGUACGGUGAAGGAAGUUCCAUAUAUAGAUGAAGGGUGAGAUGCUUCUGCUAUGUUCUUGAGGUGACAUUAGUGGCAUCUGAUUCCGAUACCAUAAAGUAGAACAGCAAAGCAAGAACAUGCGUGGAUGGUACCCAGAAAUACGGGGAUAUGGAAGGCGUCUUGGAGAUUGACGUUUUGAAGUUGAUGAUUAAUUGGGUUGACAUGCGUUAGAAGAAGCAUCGCUUGGCUUUCAAUAAUAUCUUUGCGAGAACUAGGAUUGAGCUAUAAAGGACCCUUCGAGAUGAAUCGGGUGGCUUUACUUAUACAUUGUGUAGAGUGUCAAGAUUCUGAUAAUAGCUUGUGAUGGUACGGUUGCGACUAGUUCAAACUUCACAAGCAAAAUCCCAUCCUCCAUAUUGUAGAAGGGAGUCAAAAUUGUAUAAGAUACAGUAUAUGGAUUGUAGCGGACCUUAAAAAUAAAUGAUACGUAUAAAUCGAAGGAAAUUAUGACCAAAUAGUAAAUGCUUCCCUUGCUCAAAACCCACAAAGAGAAUCAAUUCAAACCCCUAAUCAAAAGUUGUAUAACGCCUUGAUUCCUUGAAUAUCAUCCGCAUGGAGACCUUUGGUAGUCCCAGGAGCUAUGGAGGAGUACAUGAUGGCCCCUUCAACAUCGCUGUGCCCUAGCCCAAGGAGGUGACCGAUCUCGUGUAAAGCCACCGUCUCCACGUUAAAAGCGGCCGAGCCGGAGGGUGGAUCAACGGCCCACUUCUCAUCCGCGUCGUAGUGGAACAGCCCGACUGUUGGCGGAAACGCGUGGGCAAGAGUUCCUCCGGGGCCAUCGAAGCUGUUGUGUGCACCGUCUCCAUGGUCUCCUCUUGCAAACCCUAUCUGUAUGUUGGCAAUUUCAUGGUCCUCGACGUACGAGAAAGUGAAGCGUGUCACCGAGGUCCAAGUGGCAAAAGCCCGGGCAACUGGGGCCGUGGCAGCCUCUGGGGUCCCUGGGAGGAAGCCAUAGGUGAGAUGGUAAUUAGAGGCCGGCCAUCUAGGGCUUCCCUCCAAGAACGCAUAGUGAGACACGGUAUGGAAAGAUCCGAUCCCACGGAGGUUCCGCCCUUUCUUUCCGAACCCCAUGCGGGUGGUUCCAUUAAUGAUGUCCGCCACGCCGCAUCGUGGUCUCAUCAUUUUGGACGUAGUCUGGGGAUCCAAAGUUCCCGUGACAUUCAGAUGAUAAUUGAGUUGGUACGUCUUAACAGCAAAUUCUAACAGGUCGUCGAAGUCGUCGUCGUCGGCAUGGAUUGUCGGAUGACCGGAUUGGUUGUAAUUCAAAUAACCAAAUUUCUCGAGGUAUCUCUUGAGCUCGCGAAUGCCUCCGGUAUGAUUGCCCUUGUGACAUCCCUGAAGGUGCUGGAGGAACUCAAAGGGCGAUUUUAUUUGGUCAUCUGAAUGUGCUGAGGCGGCGUGAAAGAGGGAAGUGAGGAGGAGCAAGUAUGAGAAGGUGGAAAAGAACAUAGCAUCCAUGGCUGAACUGAUGAACGCGCACUCUUCUAGCAGAGAAUGAAUGUUUUAUGCAUUGUUGCCGUAUCGAAGGAGGCCUAUUUAUGGAUACAUGUCCCUUUUGAGGUGUAGCAGUAGCUAGGUCAUAAGGUCCCUUCGAAAUUGAAAUGUUCAUGAAUGGAAGAAACCGCAAGUACGUACUAACAGACAACGACCGCAUCGAUCUUCGAGAAAAACGCGUAUAAGACUGGGAAUUCGAGGAAAGAAACCCUGAGUACGGUACUAAAAACGACCUUUACUAGGUCUUUGAGAAGAAGACGUGUAAGACUGGGAACCGAAGAAGUAAUAUUGUUAGAACUCAAUUGUUAAUUUUAUGUAUUUCAUAGAGAAAGCCUCGCAGACAUUGACCUAGUCUUUGAUCCCCACUUAAGUAUCGCGAGCCAAACACAAUGCUAAAGCAUUGUGUUAUAUAAUUCAAAAGAAUCGACACGUGGGAUUCCUAUAUUGCGUGUGAAAAGCCACAAAUGCUGCAUAGGUACAUUCUAGUUUUAUUAAAUGCAAGUAGUCCCUGAACUUUCUAAUAUGUAAUAUAGUUCCCAAACUUUAGUAUAAUUUACAAUGUCAUCUUUAAACUUUUAAUUUGUACAAUAUAGUUCUUAAACUAUUAGUAAAUGUUCAAUAUAAUCAUUUUGUUUGCAUGAAAUUCAUAAAAUUUAUGGACUAAAUUGAAUAUUUACCAAAAGUUUAAGGACCACAUUGAACUAACUAAAAGCUUAAGGAUGAUAUUACACAUUGAACCAAAAUUCAAGGACUACAUCGAACAAAUUAAAAGUUCAAAGAUGACAUUGGACAUUUUAAUUAAUUUUCAAGAAUCAUUUGUGUAAUCAUCACUUUCAUUAAAGAUGCGGUGUAUUGCCGAUGAUAGUGCAAAUCAAUCUAUAAGAAGAUUUGUGUUUUAAGUGGGACCCUGUAUGAAUUCUAUAUCUCCUUAUGUGAUUAACUCGAUUGAGGAUAAGGCAAUGUUGAGAUAACUAAUUAAUCAUCAGUCUACUAUCAUAUGGAGCAACAGCCACUGCCCCUUAGUAUUGUUGUUGUUGUUGUUUUUUUUGGGUCAAAGGAAGUUUUAUUGAACCAAAACAGUCUUAAACAUUCAGGCUUACAAUAGGAGCAUCAAGACAAAGCAAGUCCCACAGUGGCUGAGGGGAUGUGCUACCCAAUUAGGAAGUAAAAGGUUGAGUUUUCAAGUUUAGCAGCCCAAUCCUUUACUCGGUUAUUCUCUACUACAAUAGACAAUCGUCGGAUUAAUAAAAAGGCCCAUUAAGUCACGGGCUCCCGAGAUAAGCACGUUGACUUUCCAAGGCAACCUGAAUGCCGAAGCUCUCCCAUUUUUCAUCGCAGCUCGUCGGGAGAAUAGGGGAAAAAAUUGAACCCAGAAAUCCAAAAUCUGCCCGCGACUUCCUCUGUUCGUCUUCCGCUUCGUCUUUCCGGCGGCCCAGCUCCAGAUCUGGAGAAGAGCCUCGUCCAUGGCGGUGACAAGCGAGGUCGGGAUCCCGGCUGUGAUUGGGCUCUGGUGGUGUUGGGGAUGGGGGUGGAACUCAGCUCGCCGCCGGCGGGACUACCGUGGCGAGGGGUAAGGGCUCAUGGGAGGAGGAUUGCGACGGACCGGCGAGGUCGACCUCAACCUCAUCAGCCGUCACCUCUGGCCGGUUGCCGAGGUCCAGCGACCGGCUAGAGGAAGAAGAGGAGCAGAAAAAAAAAAAUUAAAAUUAAAAUUAAAAUUAUUAAAAUAUUAUUAAAAGUUGUUCACAUUAACGCCAAUUAGGCUACAUCAGCCGGCCGGCGUCUAGUCAGCAAAAUCCGGCCAAAAUUGGCCGAAAAAGACUGAAUUGGCAUAACGUAAAAAGACUUGGGACUGAAUUGGUAAAUCGGCACAAAGACAAAAGGUUUAGGACUUUUUUUGUACUUUUCCCUCUUUUCAACUUUUCAAGUAACUCUCUCUCCCCCCUUCUUUUUCGGAGAAAAUAUUCGCUUGUUUCUCACCACAUCAACAAGAAGACGGAAUUUAUCUUCCUCCAUCUUCUCUAGAAAAUCGAACAUUGGAGCGAUUUUCAUCAAUGCAGAUCAAGCGACAGGAAUAACCUCGGACAACCAGGGCAAGGGGAGUGGGAGAUUAUUCGCAGUCUCCAAAAAGAAUGGGGUGCAUGCUGUUGGUCCUCCUCUCUGAUGUUGUUCAUCUUGUUUCUCUUGCUAGACUGAGUAUGCACAUACUCUGGUUGUCGGGGGCAUAAUUUACGCCAUCACAGAUGUUGAAGAACUGGGCGAAUGGAUGAAGGGCUGUUAGGAAAACCACCCAUAUUUGAUGCACUGACGAAGGAAGAACUCGUGAACGAUCCAGUGGUGAAGCUAUUGACCAGCGCGAUCGAGGAAGGCCAAAAUGUUGCCAGGAAUGGUGGGCGGACAUUUCAAGCAGAGUGCAGACGCAUUGCCCCAUCUCUAUGAUAGAAAUCAACUAAUGGCUUUAUGUUUGUGUAUCAGCAGUAAUUUUUUGGGACCAUCCUAAGUGAACUUUCAUGCAUUGUUUGGGAUCCUUUGAAAGAAUGAGAUAUUCUUUAUAAUGCAAAAGAGAAAUUGCAUACCUGUUUCUUCAUUUCUUCUUAUGCCUUCGUGUUUUUUUUUCCUCUCGCCAUUUUGUACUUUAUUUUUUUGGCCAACUAUGCAUUCACGUUAUCAUUGCAUUUAAAGCUUCACCACUUUGAAGAUUCCAUCAACCAGAAUUUUUUUAGCAGCAAUAAAGCUUUAGUAUGAAGACUUGACAGGGACGGCAUAAUUAGCCAUCUAUUUCGAUCUACAAAUAUGCAUUGUUAACGAAAUGCUACGAGCGACCGUAAAAAUUUGCCGCUUUCAAUGUGCUUCUUCUCACAUCCGACGAUAGAGCUUUCAUCCUUUUAGAGCAUCAAUGAUUAGAGUUUGCUAUUGUGAUGUCAAAAGGCCAAUCAUAUAUGGUCUAAGAUAGAGGCGAUGAAGAAGGAACUGUCGUCAUCUAUCUGUGCACAUAGGUUCAAUUCUUCUUUGCUGGUUCAUGCCGUGACGUGCAAUCUCAAAUCCGACUAUAGAGUUUUCUUCAUUAUUGUUCAUCAGAGAAGCACAAACGCACCCAACCUCAUCAACAAAGAGUGUUCAUUCCACUAGACUUAGCUCUCAAAUAUACGGCGACGAACUAUGCUUCCACGAGAAACCCACACUAGGUAACAAAUGGUGGUAGGCAGAGACUCGCCGCCCUUCUAGCGUCUUCUCGUACUCCUCGAUGGGCUUGAAGAGCUCCGAGAAGUUGCCCUUCCCGAACCCUCCGCAACCGCCCUUAUGAUACAGUUUCCCGUGAUCGUCCGUGAGCAUGCACCCCACUCUUUAUAUGAUCUCUAUGAAUAUGGUCGGCCUGCACAGUCAGGCAGCAAGAGAAACCAGAUGAACAACAUCAGAGAGGAGGACCAACAGCGUGCACCCCAUUCUCUUUGGAGACUACGAAUAAUCUCUCACUCCCUGUGCGCUAGUCGUCCAAGGUUACGCUUGUUGCUUGAUCUGCGUUGAUGGAAAUCGCUCCAACGUUUAAUUUUCUGGAAAGAUGGAGGAAGAAAAAUGCCGUCUUCUUAUUUCUUACCUUUACCAAAAAAAAAAUGCCGUCUUCUUGUUGAUGCAAGUGAGAAACAAGCGAAUAUUUUCUCCGAAAAGGGGAGAGAGAGAGCAGGUGAACAAGCCUAUUGCUUGAAAAAUUGAAAAGAUGAGAGAGAAAAGAAAAGAGGGGAGAGAGAGCGCCUGGGUAAACAAGCCCCGAAAAAUUGAAAAGAUGAGAGAGAGGGUUUUGAGCGGAGACAAGCAUUUAUUAUUCCUUCUGUCAGUGAUUUGCCAGAGAAGAGAGAAAAGAGCGUCCUAGCCCUUCCGAUUUUAAUUUUUCAAUUUCUACAUAUUUCAGCUCACGGACAGAUGUCACUUUCUCAGUGAAAUAUGCACGCCACGUCAGCCGAUGACGUUGUGGUUACUAACCACUGAAUAUUUUCUCAGAGCAGAGGGACAGUGCCCAAAGCCUUGUUACAUUGCAACUGUAAACUACUGUGUAAGAAAGUAUAACACUCACUUUAACACUGUAAAGUACUACUGCAUGCCAUGACCAAAUUUAUUCCUGCACGAACAACACUAGUGCAUUUGGAUCCCGGUUAGAACUGUCUGAAGGUCUUCCAUUUGCUCAGCUGAAGCUUCGCCGGCUUUUGCCCAGCAGAGCUAUCAGCAUUAGCUUCUAACUCAGCAGAUCCUCCACGGCCUUCGUUCUUUUUACGGUCCCGCUCCGACACUGCCUCGACCUUCUGCCGAGGAAGAUCAUUCUGGUACUGGCCGAGCAGAGCCCCGUUUUGGACUUCGUUGGAGGCCGGCUCAUUCUUGAAGGCUCUGUACACGUUCGGGUAUUGAGAGAUAUCGGGAUUGACGCUAAGCGUCCUUGACAUUCUCGAGAUGUGUUCGAGGUAAUCAUCGGAGGUGGUGUUCCAGCCAGGGAUGGAACUGGGAGUAUUUCCUAAGCUUCGACGCAUGUUUUCGCCUUUGCAGUGGUAUAGCGAAGGAACUUCCAUUUAUACAUGAAGGAGUGAGAUGCUUGUGCUAUGUUCUUGAAGCGAC
rnacentral:lncRNA from 1 species